GGCCUGUCACCCUCCGGACCAAUACCUUGAAAACUCGACGCCGAGACCUUGCGCAGGCUCUAAUCAAUCGUGGGGUUAACCUGGAUCCCCUGGGCAAGUGGUCAAAGACUGGACUAGUGGUGUAUGAUUCUUCUGUGCCCAUUGGUAAGUCUCCCCCACCCAAGAGCCCUUCUACCUCUGUCCCUGUCCCUACCGCAUGUCACAGGGUGGUCCUCCUCCGCAGGUGCUACCCCCGAGUACCUGGCUGGGCACUACAUGCUGCAGGGAGCCUCCAGCAUGUUGCCCGUCAUGGCCUUGGCACCCCAGGAACAUGAGCGGAUCCUGGACAUGUGUUGUGCCCCUGGAGGAAAGACCAGCUACAUGGCCCAGCUGAUGAAGAACACAGGUGUGAUCCUUGCCAAUGACGCCAAUGCUGAGCGGCUCAAGAGUGUUGUGGGCAACUUGCAUCGGCUGGGAGUCACCAACACCGUUAUCAGCCACUAUGAUGGGCGCCAGUUCCCCAAGGUGGUGGGGGGCUUUGACCGAGUACUGCUGGAUGCUCCCUGCAGUGGCACUGGGGUCAUCUCCAAGGAUCCAGCCGUGAAGACCAACAAGGUGAGGAGUCAGGUGGUGGGCCCCUGAGAGGCCUUGGCUGGGUCUUGUAGAGCUGGAAAGUGAGAUGGGGACACCCUCUGGGCUCCCCUCUCCUCCUCAGGCUGCCUUUGGGUCUCUUUUUGGGACAGGAUGAGAAGGACAUCCUGCGCUGUGCUCACCUCCAGAAGGAGUUGCUCCUGAGUGCUAUUGACUCUGUCAAUGCGACCUCCAAGACAGGAGGCUACCUGGUUUACUGCACCUGUUCUAUCACGGUAGAAGAGAAUGAGUGGGUGGUAGACUAUGCUCUGAAAAAGAGGAAUGUGCGACUGGUGCCCACAGGCCUAGACUUUGGCCAGGAAGGUUUUACCCGCUUUCGAGAAAGGCGCUUCCACCCC
rnacentral:sRNA from 1 species